UUAAUUUCCACCCUCUAGGGUUUUUUUUUUAAUUCAGUUUUCGAUGCCUAAUUCCACCCUGCUUCUUUCUGACAUACAUUUACACAUUGUUUCAGAGGAUGCGAUGUGCUUAUUUUAGAUACUGGAUUGGGAAGUGCAGAGAAUCAAGCAAGGGUCAAGGAGUUGCUUCAUGUGGAGGAAUCAAAACUAGAGGAGGAUGAGGGAAAUACCACUCCAGCAGUGAGAUGGGUUCGAGAUGAUAAAUAUGAUUGCAUCCGAUUAAAGCAUUGCAAGGUUGUGACAAAAAUUGAUUGGCAUCGGAAAGGAGACUAUUUCACUACUGUCGUUCCUAGUGAUAUCCUAAUUAUGAAUUUUAGUUGUACUUAUUUUUAGUCAUUCCUAGUGCCUAUUUUAUAUCUCAGUUUUGUUUCUUUCUUUUUUCUAAUACACACUGACAAAUUGGAAAUAUAUAAAAAUCAUGACAUUAUACCUAGUUACCUAGCCUUUGAGGCUGGAAUCAGGAUGAAACCUAAAGUGCCCUGAAAAGUUUAGGCAUACCAAAUUCUCUCAGUUUAAUGACAGAGGUGUUUUAGAUUGUAAAUUUCAUCCGAGGCAGCCAUGGCUAUUCACAGCUGGAGCAGAUUCUGUCAUUAAACUGUAUUGCCACUAAUGAUAGAUUCUCCAGGAAACUUUGAAGAAUCUCCUCGAGUCAAGAUACGUGAGUACUUGCUGAUCCUACAUGACUACGGUAGCAAGUUCAUGUUCUUUGCUGAAGCUGCAACCUAUUUAUGAGGUCGUUCUAUAUGGCACCGGCACCUAGAGCAAGUUCGUGUUCUUUGCUAAAAUUGCAAUCUAUUUACAAGGUCUUUAGAUAGAUGUGGAUAUUGGUUCUUCGACAGUGGCUAAUGGAGUGUUAGGGCUCGUCUUUGGUGUAAUCACAUCCUUGGUGGUUGAUA